rnacentral:rRNA from 1 species
CGCUGGCGGCGUGCUUCAUACAUGCAAGUCGAACGAGAACCGGUAGCUUGCGUAUCGGGGAAAGUGGCGGACGGGUGAGUAAAAUGUAGGUAAUCUGCCUUUAAGCGGGGGACAACAGUUGGAAACGAUUGCUAAUACCCCAUAUGAGAUAUGUUGAGAUAUAUAUCUUGAAAAACUCCGGUGCUUAGAGAUGAGCCUGCAUCUGAUUAGCUAGUUGGGGGUGUAAUGGACCACCAAGGCGACGAUCAGUAGCUGGUUUGAGAGGAUGAUCAGCCACAAUGGGACUGAGACACGGCCCAUACUCCUACGGGAGGCAGCAGUAGGGAAUUUUGCGCAAUGGGGGGAAAAACCCCCUGACGCAGCAACGCCGCGUGAAUGAGACGGCCUUCGGGUUGUAAAGUUCUGUCACAGGGGACGAAAAAUGACGGUACCCUGAGAGGAAGCACCGGCUAACUCCGUGCCAGCCGCCGC